AUUGAACGCUGGCGGCAGGCCUAACACAUGCAAGUCGAGCGGAGCGGCGGACGGGCGAGUAAUGCCUAGGAGUCUGCCUGGUCGUUGGGGAUAACGUACGGCUACGGGCGCUAAUACCGCAUGCUCUCAGUUGAGCCUAGGUCGGAUUAGCUAGUUGGUGGGGUAAAGGCCUACCAAGGCGACGAUCCGUAACUGGUCUGAGAGGAGGAUCAGUCACACUGGAACUGAGACACGGUCCAGACUCCUACGGGAGGCAGCAGUGGGGAAUAUUGGACAAUGGGCGAAAGCCUGAUCCAGCCAUGCCGCGUGUGUGAAGAAGGUCUUCGGAUUGUAAAGCACUUUAAGUUGGGAGGCGUUACCAACAGAAUAAGCACCGGCUAACUUCGUGCCAGCAGCCGCGGUAAUAC
rnacentral:rRNA from 1 species